AGUAGUUUGAUCAGUGGCUCGAGGACACGCUGGCGGUGUGCUUAACACAUGCAAGUGGUGCGACGAACCAGAGCUUGCUCUGGGGCAAAGCCGCGAACGGGUGAGUAACACGUGGGUAAUCUACCCCGAUGACCGGGACAACCCGAGGAAACUCGGGCUAAUACCGGAUGUGGUACGGAGACAUAAGUCUCUUUACUAAAGGUAGCUUCGGCUUCCGCAUUGGGAGGGGCCCGCGGCCCAUUAGCUAGUUGGUGGGGUCAAGGCCUACCAAGGCAACGAUGGGUAGCUGGUCUGAGAGGACGAUCAGCCACACUGGGACUGAGACACGGCCCAGACUCCUACGGGAGGCAGCAGUGGGGAAUCUUGCGCAAUGCGCGAAAGCGUGACGCAGCAACACCGCGUGAGGGAAGACGGCCUUAGGGUUUGUAAACCUCUUUCAGAUGGGACGAAGGUGAUGCGGUGAAUAGCCGAUGUCAUUGACGGUACCGUCAGAAGAAGCUCCGGCUAACUACGUG
rnacentral:rRNA from 1 species